GAUGAACGCUGGCGGCGUGCCUAAUACAUGCAAGUCGAGCGAACAGAUGAGGAGCUUGCUCCUCUGACGUUAGCGGCGGACGGGUGAGUAACACGUGGAUAACCUACCUAUAAGACUGGGAUAACUUCGGGAAACCGGAGCUAAUACCGGAUAAUAUAUUGAACCGCAUGGUUCAAUAGUGAAAGACGGUUUUGCUGUCACUUAUAGAUGGCUCCGCGCCGCAUUAGCUAGUUGGUAAGGUAACGGCUUACCAAGGCAACGAUGCGUAGCCGACCUGAGAGGGUGAUCGGCCACACCGGAACUGAGACACGGUCCAGACUCCUACGGGAGGAAGCAGUAGGGAAUCUUACGCAAUGGGCGAAAGCCUGACGGAGCAACGCCGCGUGAGUGAUGAAGGUCUUCGGAUCGUAAAACUCUGUUAUUAGGGAAGAACAAAUGUGUAAGUAACUAUGCACGUCUUGACGGUACCUAAUCAGAAAGCCACGGCUAACUACGUG
rnacentral:rRNA from 1 species